AAAAAGGAAUUAGACAAAUAGGUUUUUCACCUGUUUAUUAAAAACAUGUCUUUUUG
rnacentral:tRNA from 1 species